rnacentral:rRNA from 1 species
GUCGAGCGCAUCCUUCGGGAUGAGCGGCGGACGGGUGAGUAACACGUGGGAACAUGCCCUUCACUGCGGAAUAGUCUCGGGAAACUGGGGGUAAUACCGCAUACGCCCUUCGGGGGAAAGAUUUAUCGGAGAAGGAUUGGCCCGCGUUUGAUUAGAUAGUUGGUGGGGUAAUGGCCUACCAAGUCUACGAUCAAUAGCUGGUUUGAGAGGAUGAUCAGCAACACUGGGACUGAGACACGGCCCAGACUCC